rnacentral:rRNA from 1 species
AGCCAGACUCCUACGGGAGGCAGCAGUGGGGAAUAUUGCACAAUGGGGGAAACCCUGAUGCAGCGACGCCGCGUGAGUGAAGAAGUAUUUCGGUAUGUAAAGCUCUAUCAGCAGGGAAGAAAAUGACGGUACCUGAUUAAGAAGCCCCGGCUAACUACGUGCCAGCAGCCGCGGUAAUACGUAGGGGGCAAGCGUUAUCCGGAUUUACUGGGUGUAAAGGGAGCGUAGGCGGUAAUGCAAGUCAGAAGUGAAAGCCCGGGGCUCAACUCCGGGACUGCUUUUGAAACUGUGUUACUAGAUUGCAGGAGAGGUAAGUGGAAUUCCUAGUGUAGCGGUGAAAUGUGUAGAUAUUAGGAGGAACACCAGUGGCGAAGGCGGCUUACUGGACUGUAAAUGACGCUGAGGCUCGAAAGCGUGGGGAGCAAACAGGAUUAGAUACCCCGGUAC